UACAGAGGGAGCAAGCGUUGUUCGGAAUUACUGGGCGUAAAGGGCGCGUAGGCGGUCCGAUAAGUCCCGUGUGAAAUCCCUCGGCUCAACUGAGGAAUGGCACGGGAAACUGACGGGCUUGAGUUCGGGAGAGGGAAGCGGAAUUCCGGGUGUAGCGGUGAAAUGCGUAGAUAUCCGGAGGAACACCGGUGGCGAAGGCGGCUUCCUGGACCGACACUGACGCUGAGGCGCGAAAGCUAGGGGAGCAAACGGG
rnacentral:rRNA from 1 species